rnacentral:rRNA from 1 species
GAUCAAGCGAAUAAGAGCACAGGGUGGAUGCCAAGGCGCCAACUGCCGAAGAAGGACGCGGUAAGCUGCGAAAAGCCACGGGGAGCCGCAAGCAGGCUUUGAUCCGUGGAUGUCCGAAUGGGGAAACCCGGCGGGAGUAAUGCCCCGUCACCCAUGGAUGAAUCCAUAGUCCAUGAGGAGGGCACCCGGGGAACUGAAACAUCUAAGUACCCGGAGGAAAAGAAAGUAAAUAACGAUUCCCUAAGUAGUGGCGAGCGAACAGGGAUUAGCCCAAACCAACUUUCUACGGAAGGUUGGGGUUGUGGACCAGCAACAUGUAUCGUAAAGGCUAGGAGAAGAGAGCUGGAAAGCUCUACCGGAGAGGGUAACAGUCCCGUAUCUGAAAGUCUGAGCGAGCUAGCUGGCACCAGAGUACCGCAGGACACGUGAAAUCCGGCGGGAAGCUGGGAGGACCACCUCCCAAGGCUAAAAACGGUUGGCGACCGAUAGCGCAUAGUACCGUGAGGGAAAGGUGAAAAGAACCCCGGGAGGGGAGUGAAAGAGAACCUGAAACCCUGUGUUUACAAGCAGAGAGAGCACGUGAAAGGUGCAAUCUCGUACUUUUUGUAGAACGGACCGGCGAGUUACGGUAGGCAGCAAGGUUAAGGACGGGAAGUCCGGAGCCGAAGCGAAAGCGAGUCUGAAGAGGGCGUCGAGUUGCUUGCCGUAGACCCGAAACCAGGCGACCUAUCCAUGAGCAGGUUGAAGUGAGAGUAAAAUCUCAUGGAGGACCGAACCAGACGUCUGUUGAAAAAGGCGGGGAUGACUUGUGGAUAGCGGAGAAAUUCCAAUCGAGCCUGGAUAUAGCUGGUUCUCCUCGAAAUAGCUUUAGGGCUAGCCUCGUACGAGAGCAUUGGAGGUAGAGCACUGAAUGACCUAGGGGGCCUCAAAGCUUACCGAAGUCUAUCAAACUCCGAAUGCCAAUUGUUUGAUGUACGGGAGUCAGUCCGUGGGAGAUAAGUUUCACGGGCAAAAGGGAAACACCCCAGACCGCCCGCUAAGGUCCCUAAGUUCAGGUUAAGUGGAGAAGGAUGUGCAAUUGCUCAGACAACCAGGAUGUUGGCUCAGAAGCAGCCACUCAUUCAAAGAGUGCGUAAUAGCUCACUGGUCAAGUGAUUGUGCGCCGAAGAUGUACCGGGGCUAAACCUGACACCGAAGCGACGGGUUCGUUGGCAUUUAUGUCAAUGAGCGGUAGAGGAGCAUUGUGUACGGGCUGAAGCAGAAUCGAGAGGCUCUGUGGACUGUACAGAAGAGAGAAUGCCGGUAUGAGUAGCGAGAGCCAUGCGAGAAACAUGGCCGUCGAAAGCCCAAGGUUUCCUGGGGAAGGUUCAUCCACCCAGGGUAAGUCGGGACCUAAGCCGAGGACAAGAGUCGUAGGCGAUGGACAGCAGGUGGAAAUUCCUGCACCGCCGAGGAAUGACGCAGUGACACAGAAGGAUAGCCUGAGCGGGGUGUUGGUCAACUCCGUACAAGCACUUAGGCUGGGAUGUAGUGAAGUACGCAUCCCAUUAAGGCUGAGGUGUGAUGUGGACCGAAAACAAGUAGGGAAGCAGGCGAGUUCACGCUGGCGAGAAAAGCUGCUAGUAUAUCCGAAGGCGCCCGUACCGGAAUCCGACACAGGUGGGCGAGGAGAGAAUCCUGAGACGAACGGGAGAACCCUUGUUAAGGAACUCGGCAAAAUAGCCCCGUAACUUCGGGAGAAGGGGUGCCACGAAAGUGGCCGCAGUGAAUAGGCCCAAGCGACUGUUUAUCAAAAACACAGGUAUCUGCGAAAGCGAGAGCUGACGUAUAGGUGCUGACGCCUGCCCGGUGCCGGAAGGUUAAGGGGAACUGUCAGGGCAACCGAAGCAGUGAACUGAAGCCCCGGUAAACGGCGGCCGUAACUAUAACGGUCCUAAGGUAGCGAAAUUCCUUGUCGGGUAAGUUCCGACCCGCACGAAUGGCGUAACGACUUGGGCGCUGUCUCAACAAGGGACCCGGUGAAAUUGAAGUAUGUGUGAAGAUGCACAUUACCCGCGACUGGACGGAAAGACCCCGUAGAGCUUUACUGCAGCUUGGCAUUGGAUUUUGGUAAUGGAUGUACAGGAUAGGUGGGAGACUGGGAAGCAAGGACGUCAGUUUUUGUGGAGUCAACGUUGGGAUACCACUCUUCUGUUGCUGGAAUUCUAACAUAGCGCCGUGAAACCGGCGGAUGGACAGUACCAGGUGGGCAGUUUGACUGGGGCGGUCGCCUCCGAAAGAGUAACGGAGGCGCCCAAAGGUACCCUCAGAAUGGAUGGAAAUCAUUCGUAGAGUGCAAAGGCAGAAGGGUGCCUGACUGCGAGACCGACGGGUCGAGCAGGGACGAAAGUCGGGCUUAGUGAUCCGGCGGCAUUGAGUGGAAGAGCCGUCGCUCAACGGAUAAAAGCUACCUCGGGGAUAACAGGCUGAUCUCCCCCAAGAGUCCACAUCGACGGGGAGGUUUGGCACCUCGAUGUCGGCUCGUCGCAUCCUGGGGCUGAAGCAGGUCCCAAGGGUUUGGCUGUUCGCCAAUUAAAGCGGCACGCGAGCUGGGUUCAGAACGUCGUGAGACAGUUCGGUCCCUAUCCAUCGUGGGCGUUGGAAUCAUGAGAGGAGCUGUCCCUAGUACGAGAGGACCGGGAUGGACGUAUCACUGGUGCAACUGUUGUCGUGCCAACGGCAUAGCAGGGAAGCGAAAUACGGACGGGAUAAACGCUGAAGGCAUCUAAGCGUGAAGCCCCCCUCAAGAAGAAGAUUCCCAUUCCUUUAAGGAAGUAAGACCCCUCAAAGACGAUGAGGUUGAUAGGUCAUCGCUGGAAGUGCAGCAAUGUAUUGAGGUUGAUGAUACUAAUCGGUCGAGGGCUUGAUCUG